GAUGCACGCUCCCGACAGAGUUACCUCUCGUUCCAGUGCCUUUUCUGAAGACAAAGGAAUUCUCCGGUUGGAACAUUAUUGAUGUUUUAUGUUAAAAACAUCCUAAUGAUUGAUUCCACACAUAGUUUGACAUGUUUCUAAAAGACUGUAACGGAACUUUUCGAGUUUUUGUCUGGAUGAUAUGCUCGCGCCUCAUGAAGAUGGAUUACUGGGCUGAAAACGCUAACAACAAGUGGCUAUUUGGACAUAAAUGAUGAUAAAUUAACUUUAUGGAACAAAUCAGUCAUUUAUUGUCGAACUGGGAUUCCUGGGAGUCCCUUCUGAUGAAGAUCAUCAAAGUGUGCAGAACAGAAGAGGAUAAAUCACUUUGAUGGCAGUCGCGUCCUGCAUCCCAAAAAUCUGAAGGGGCACAAAGUACUGUGGGCUGUGGGGGAGUGCAGGGAGGAGCUAUGCCCACACAUCUAAGUGGGUUUGCACAACCUCGACCAGAUGGAUGGGCCAUUUUUACAUUAUAGACAUCAAAAAGUGGAGCAAAAGAUCCAGGAGAUGGUCACGACAGGGGUCAUCAGGCUAUCCAACGGCCCUUGGAUGGCCCCUGUAGUCCUUGUCAAGAAGAAGGACAGCUCAUGUUGCUCCUAUGUGGACUUCAGGCAGCUGAACUAUGUGACUAGGAAGAAUUCCUAUCCCCUCCCGCUCCCUCCAUCUCCUGAAAGCCAGGCUGAAGACUGCCUUCACAAUUGCAUUAGGUCUUUGUCUGUUCACUUUGAUUCCCUUUGGACUCUGCAACACUCUGUGCCUACCUUUGAGCACCUUAUGGAGCAAGUUAUGACCACAAUCCCCUGCAACAAGUGUGUUGUCUACCUGGAUGACCUCCUUGUGCACUCACCGGACUUCAAGGGUCCAUUCCCUUGAAGGGGCAAGCCACUUUGGGCACACAAAUACCAUCCACCGCCUCAGAGAGAAUUCUUACUGGGCUGGAGUGGUAUGUGUAUGCCUGCGAAACCUGUAUUGGCCACAAAGGCCCAACUGGACACUCCCAUGCCCCAUUACAGCAAUACCAGGUGUGGGUCCCCAUCAAGCGGGUCCUUUCCCCAAGACUGAGGCGGGCAACCGGUUCGUAUUGUAGCCAUGGACUGCAUUACCGUGGCCAGAGGCCAAUGUAGUUCCCGACCAGUCCACCACAACUACUGCCAACAAGCUGGUGAAGGGGAUGUUUUGCCGGUUUGGAGUACUGGAAGAUGUCCACAGUGAUCAGACGAGAAAUGUUGACAAUAAGGUGUUAAAGACAGUCUGUAUGGAACUGGUGGUGCGCAGGACGAGAACCAGCCCCCUGUUCUUUAAAGCAAAAGGCUGGUCGAACGGUCUAAUCAGACUUUGGCGAUACAUCUGGCUACGCUCACCUCAAACCACCAGAAGGACUGGGACAAACAUCUGUCAUUGGUCUAUUGGGCUUACCGGUCAGCAGUACAAGAGUCCACUGGCUGCACCCCAGCGGCGCUGAUGUUAGGCAGAUAACUAAACACUACAGUGGACUUUUCCUUUGGAAUACCACCUCAACCUUACAGUAAGCAGUGCUUGGAUACAGGCCAUAACUUCGUACGGUGUCGCUUGAUGGAAUGCAUGGUCAAACUUACGCUGUGAGGUCCAGGGACUUGGCCUCUCACUAUGACUCAUCGGAAGGUAUCAAUCAAUCACAUUUAUUUCAUAAAGCCCUUUAUACAUAAGCAUUGCUAUACAUAUACCCAGCCUAAAACCCCCAAAAGGAAGCAAUGCAGAUGUAGAAGGACAGUGUUAGGUGUAGAAGGACAGUGUUAGGUGUAGAAGCAGAGUGUUAGGUGUAGAAGGACAGUGUUAGGUGUAGAAGAACAGUGUUAGGUGUAGAAGAACAGUGUUAGGUGUAGAAGAACAGUGUUAGGUGUAGAAGGACAGUGUUUGGUGUAGAAGCAGAGUGUUAGGUGUAGAAGGACAGUGUUAGGUGUGGAAGCAGAGUGUUAGGUGUAGAAGGACAGUGUUAGGUGUAGAAGAACAGUGUUAGGUGUAGAAUGACAGUGUUAGGUGUAGAAGGACAGUGUUAGGUGUAGAAGGACAGUGUUAAGUGUAGAAGGACAGUGUUAGGUGUAGAAGAACAGUGUUAGGUGUAGAAGGACAGUGUUAGGUGUAGAAGGACAGUGUUAAGUGUAGAAGGACAGUGUUAAGUGUAGAAGAACAGUGUUAGGUGUAGAAGAACAGUGUUAGGUGUAGAAGGUGCCAGUUUUAGGUGUAGAAGGACAGUGUUAAGUGUAGAAGAACAGUGUUAGGUGUAGAAGAACAGUGUUAGGUGUAGAAGAAUAGUGUUAGGUGUAGAAGGACAGUGUUAGGUGUAGAAGCAGAGUGUUAGGUGUAGAAGGACAGUGUUAAGUGUAGAAGAACAGUGUUAGGUGUAGAAGGACAUUGUUAGGUGUAGAAGGACAGUGUUAGGUGUAGAAGGACAGUGUUAGGUGUAGAAGAACAGUGUUAGGUGUAGAAGGGGACAGUGUUAGGUGUAGGACAGUGUUAAGUGUAGAAGAACAGUGUUAUGUGUAGAAGAACAGUGUUAUGUGUAGAAGAACAGUGUUAGGUGUAGAAGAACAGUGUUAGGUUUAGAAGGACAGUGUUAGGUGUAGAAGCAGAGUGUUAGGUAUAGAAGGACAGUGUUAGGUGUAGAAGGACAGUGUUAGGUGUAGAAGAACAGUGUUAGGUGUAGAAGGGGACAGUGUUAGGUGUAGAAGAACAGUGUUAGGUGAAGAAGGACAGUGUUAGGUGUAGAAGAACAGUGUUAGGUGUAGAAGAACAGUGUUAGGUGUAGAAGGACAGUGUUAGGUGAAGAAGCAGUGUUAGGUAAGGAGACAUGUGAAAUGAGUUCACAUUGAACAAAAAUCUAUACUCUAUCUAGCCUACCAGGUCUGACAACAUCCUCCCUGUCUCCAUGACAACAUGUUUGUAGAAAAUAAAACAAAUAUCCCACUGGGCACAGACGUCAGUUCAACGUCUAGUUUUGAUUUACAUUUGGUUGAGUUGUCAAAUACAGUGAAUUCAACGUGAAAUCAACAAAUCAUUUUACCAUGUCAUUUGAUUUAGGUUAAAAGUUUGGUGAAAGAAAGAUGUAAUUCCCUUACGUUGAUUACUUUUUUCAAAUCCAAUCAGUUUACCAUGUUGAUUAAACGUCAUCACAUUGAAUUUGUUGGUUGAAAUGACGUGGAAACAACGUUGAUUCAACUAGUUUUUGCUCAGUCGGAUGAUGCCCAGAGAGAGACUCACAUGGUGUUGGUGCAGGGCUGACUCUGCUCAUUUUUCUGUCACAUCAAUAAAAUGCUUUUUAGCAAACUGACAGCCACAAGUACAUACAGUACUGUACUGAAGCUUUCCACAGACACACAACAGCUGUUCGAAAAAAAUACUAUGGUCUUAUGAAAAUAAUCCUUGAUCUUAAUUGCUCUUCAAUACCAGAAUACAGUCAAGUAAUAUAGUGUCGGCAUGUCUUCAUAUAGAUACUGUAUAUGAUGGAUUGAAAGUAAGUUACAUUUGAGAAAAGUGAGGAUAUUAUGCAAACAAAAGCUCUAGGACCUAUAAAGGUAGAGUAAAUUCAAUUAUUUCACAGAUAUUUUCAGUUGUCCAUUGGCACUGACCAGUGGCUAGCCCCAGCCCUAUGGAGUGAAGCCAGGCAUAGUAAUCAUUCUUCAGUAAUCAGAGCUCACUGGACUGUCUCCUGGACCUUGCCUGAUAGACUAGAUCAAUGUCCUGUCAGAUCCUACCCUUCAAUAUUCCACGUAACUGGGCUCUCCACAGCCCAGGCCCCACAACACAGGAAUGACCUGCCAUCUCACAAUAUCCAGUCUCCACUAGUAUUUACCUGCCGUUUCAUAGGUGGCAAUUGAAAUCAAUUCAACAUAAUUGAUAAUUACCUGGUGUCACAUCGGUAUCUAGAGGUGUUUUUAUAGGAUGAGACUAUAUUUACUUCAAAGACAAGUCAUUGUAGGCCUCGCAAAUCUUGUAUCCAUAUAUUUAUGUAUGGCUCUGGUAUGGCUCUGGUAUUGGGCUUCAAAAUGUGGGUUUUCAAUAUGUUUCCAUAACUACUGUAUGUACAAUUAGACUGGUGCAGACAAAACACAUGAUUUUCACACAAAGUCAUUAACUUGCAGCAAUUUUAACUUGCAACCUUUCAAGCUUAUACUAAAGGUGGCAAUACAUUUACUGAGGCUUAUAAUUGUUUGUCAAUAAAGAAUGAUACCAACAUAGCUCCAGUAGUUUGUGGAGGUAUAUUUUCAACUCUAAUUUGUUGAAUUAGCAUUCAUGAUUAUAUAUAGAUAUAGGACCUUAAUUUGAUAACCCUG
ensembl:lncRNA